rnacentral:rRNA from 1 species
UACGAAGGGGGCUAGCGUUGUUCGGAAUUACUGGGCGUAAAGCGCACGUAGGCGGAUAUUUAAGUCAGGGGUGAAAUCCCGGGGCUCAACCCCGGAACUGCCUUUGAUACUGGGAAGCUCGAGUCCGGAAGAGGUGAGUGGAACUCCGAGUGUAGAGGUGAAAUUCGUAGAUAUUCGGAAGAACACCAGUGGCGAAGGCGGCUCACUGGUCCGGUACUGACGCUGAGGUGCGAAAGCGUGGGGAGCAAACAGG